GAUGAACGCUGGCGGCGUGCCUAAUACAUGCAAGUCGAGCGAACGGACGAGAAGCUUGCUUCUCUGAUGUUAGCGGCGGACGGGUGAGUAACACGUGGAUAACCUACCUAUCAGACUGGGAUAACUUCGGGAAACCGGAGCUAAUACCGGAUAAUAUUUUGAACCGCAUGGUUCAAAAGUGAAAGACGGUCUUGCUGUCACUUAUAGCUGGAUCCGCGCUGCAUUAGCUAGUUGGUAAGGUAACGGCUUACCAAGGCAACGAUGCAUAGCCGACCUGAGAGGGUGAUCGGCCACACUGGAACUGAGACACGGUCCAGACUCCUACGGGAGGCAGCAGUAGGGAAUCUUCCGCAAUGGGCGAAAGCCUGACGGAGCAACGCCGAGUGAGUGAUGAAGGUCUUCGGAUCGUAAAACUCUGUUAUUAGGGAAGAACAUAUGUGUAAGUAACUGUGCACAUCUUGACGGUACCUAAUCAGAAAGCCACGGCUAACUACGUG
rnacentral:rRNA from 1 species